UACAGAGGGUGCGAGCGUUAAUCGGAAUUACUGGGCGUAAAGCGUGCGUAGGCGGUUAUGUAAGUCAGGUGUGAAAUCCCCAGGCUCAACCUGGGAACUGCGUCUGAUACUGGAUGGCUUGAAUCCGGGAGAGGGAUGCAGAAUUCCAGGUGUAGCGGUGAAAUGCGUAGAUAUCUGGAGGAAUACCGGUGGCGAAGGCGGCAUCCUGGACCGGCAUUGACGCUGAGGAGCGAAAGCCAGGGGAGCAAACGGG
rnacentral:rRNA from 1 species